CGGAAUAAAACUAAAACGUUUCUUCAGUGUCAACAAAGAAUUAAAUUGUCAUAAAAACCUGAUGCUUGGGGCCCUUUCAAACUUUCAGUGAUACGUUUUUUUUUUGCUCCAUUUUGAAAAGUCUCACUGUGGACUUUGAGAUGAAGAACAGAAAUAAAAGCGCUUUUCCUUUGCUUUAUGUGAGCUUGUUGCUGUAUUGGUUUGCGCCAUGGAUGUAUACCCCACA
rnacentral:lncRNA from 1 species